CCCUAAUUAUGAGUGUGAUUUUCUACCAUACUCAAGGGCAAUCUCUUGCCUUCAAAAUUCCACUAUCCUAUUGAGCUAGCACUCCACGAUACUCUAGGGAAGCUGCUCCCAUUGAGGUUCCAAGUGUUAUUUGCGUGGAUUACAUAUUAAAGGCUGGGCAAUUGUGUAGCUAAAGGCUAUCAUACUUUUCGGUGACUUGUGCUAUAAAAGUGCCAAUGACGAGCGGGAAAGACAGACGCGUUCGGUCUGUGCGGCGUCGCUGGCGAAGCCAAGCAUCGUCGUUCGGGCCCUUCCCCGUUUAUCUGGAAAAUCUACCUGCAAACAGCGGUUAAACCUGGUUGUGAGUCGGUGUUAGUUUCUCCCUAGCUUUGCCCGUUUCUGAACCUGCCAAUCGGCAGUUGUCUGCCCUCUAUUGGCUCAACUCUACAUGUAAGUGAUUUAGCUUCUUAAGAUGAUUUUAAAUGAUAAUACAAGUACCUUUGGUUUUUAGAUUUUCGAUUUGUUUUUCAACAAGUGGGGGAAAUGCGCGAUUGUAUAACAUGAAUAGAUGCCCUAACUACAGCAUAUUGUUGAAUUUAUGAUGAGAUUGGUUCAUAUUCUUCAGUU